rnacentral:misc_RNA from 1 species
CGGGGCCUAGCCGGUCGCCCAUUUCCGUGACGCCGGAAUCGUAGAACCGUUUGAUGGAAUCGCCGGCCUCGGCCAGCACGCGGCGGUUGGUGGCGAACCGCGGGCCCUUGACCGAGAACACGAAACCGUCGGGCACCUCGCUGGCCCAUUUGCGGAAGCUUUCCGGCUUCUGCGAGCCGUAAUAGGUGCCGUUGAUUUCGAUCGAGGUCAGCUUGGAGGCGGCAUAGGACAGCUCUUUCGCCUGGGUCAGCUUUUCGGGGUAGAACACGCCCCGCCAGGGCGCG